rnacentral:tRNA from 1 species
GGCCCGGUGGUUCAGUUGGUUAGAAUGCCGGCCUGUCACGCCGGAGGUCACGGGUUCAAGUCCCGUUCGGGUCGCCA